GGCAUCGUCGUCCUCCGUCCGCACUAAUUAUUUGCGUUCGGGCCGCUCGAGGUCCGUCUGGAUGUAGUCAUGGCGAUUCUGGGAGCAACGACGCCGGCGUUGGGCGCAGGAUCAGCCGGAGCGGCACACCCUCCGGUGGUGCGCGAGGUUGCAGAAGCGUUGCAAAAGUACCCGUGCCCCUGCAGUAUAUAUCCUGGUUAAAUUUCAUUGACAAUAAGCCUUGAUUUGCUAGUAAUAAGAACCAGCGCACUUGCAUGACACUUCCCUAGUCCUCGUCCAGGCGCACCUCGUGCACAAGAUCAAUGGCAGCGGUGGCGGGGGUGUCUGGAGAUGAUGAGCAGAAGAUGAGCUCUGGAACAUCGCGGCACGGCAGCGUCGGUUGAUCAGGACAGCGCGAGAUGCUUGUGCGUGUUUGUGCAAAACGAUCGGUACUGUCCACCUGGUGCAUGGGCCUUAAAUACAUGCAGCUGGGUAAAGUGUUUACGUUAUACA